rnacentral:lncRNA from 1 species
UUAGUCUAUUGUUAGAAAAUUAGAAUAUUGUGUAUUAGGAAAAAUUCUUUUCCACAUUCUGUAUUUUUUUCCUAAGAUAGUUUUGCUCCUAUGUAUUACAAAUAGGAACUAGAUUGUACAUCAUUAAUCAGUGAAAAGUAAUAUACAAUACACUUAUCCUCCAAUUCUUUCACUCAAAUUUCGGACAUGGUAUCAGAGCGAGUCUUCUAGCUUCCGCUCCUUUUUCAAGUUUUUUUUUUCCACCUUUCACCCUCGAUUUUGCAAAACUUCCGUCCCCAUCUUGCAAAUUUUUUUUUUUUUUGAGCUAGAUAAGCAAAAGGAACAGUAUGAUGAGAAACCCAACAACCAAAUCUGGAGUCGUUCAAGAUCCAGAAGCCUCCUCCAACGUCCAAGAGGUGGAUGAUUCACCUUCGAACCAACAUUCAAAUCCUGUAAUAGAAAACCAGACACAAGAAUAGGAUCAAACGCAACUCAAUGAAGUGCGACAGCGUCCCGUUCAGCCAAAUCCGGGGCAAUUUUUUCAGGGUCCACAUGUACAAUGGAUCCCUAUUCAAGUUCAACCAGCCCAGAGCACAACGGGUUCUACAGAAAGUGUUGGACCAAGAGGAGGCUCAACAGUAGGAUUCGAGUUCAACCCAGGAUCCGAAUCUGCUUGGUCCUAUCCGAACUCGAAUCUCUCGGGUCCGAUGGGUCUCCCUUACCCAGGAUUCGGACCCAGUUUUUUUCCUUUUGCAGGCACCUUCGGUGGCCGGCCAGAAUCAGGAGAUGCCCUGUACACGGCCACUACCAAUGGACCCUAGCUCCGCUUGAUUUCGUAGCAACUCUCGGGAUCGAAGAACUACUCCAUUUGGUCUCAGGAGCUUUGGCGGGCACUUAUAACAAAGGACAAAGAUGGCUAUAUAGAUGGAUCCAUACCCAUUCCAGCCGAUGAACGAUUGGCCCGACACUGGAAGAAAUGCAACUAGUUAGUCCAGACUUGGAUCGGCAAUUGCCUCACACCGGAGGUCGCCACUGGACUCCCUCCAACCGAGGAUGCUCACUAGUUUUGGAAAAGCAUACAAGAAAAGUACGACAAGCUCAGUAGGGCUAGAAUUUUCUCAAUAACCCAAGCCCUAGCAGAGCUAAAACAAGGAAAUCUAUCUAUUUUGGCCAUUUUCAAUAAACUCUCGACAUUGUGGAACGAAUUAGAAGAAGCGGAAGAGAACCUUCAAGGGUCAGAAGAAACUCUAGCUCAAUACCAAGCAAUUAGAGAAAGAGAAAAAGUGACACGUUUUUUGUUGAUCCUAAAUGAAACUUACCUGCUGUUUUGCAGCCAAAUCCUUGCCACGGAGCCAGUUCCUUCGCUUGGCCGAAUCUACCAGCUUGCUCUAUAGGAGGAAUCAUAGCGGGUGGCUUUGACGGAGUACCUCAAGGUUGGAGAUCGGGUUGUUCUCGCGGCCAAAGCGACGCCCGACUAGCAUCUACUUGCAGCAAGGUUCGGCCAUGGAGUCUUCAGGGGGUCUAGCAACGCAACGGCUGCG